CCUACGGGAGGCAGCAGUGAGGAAUAUUGGUCAAUGGCCGCAAGGCUGACCCAGCCAAGUCGCGUGAAGGAAGAAGGUUCUCUGGUUUGUAAACUUCUUUUAUAGGGGAAUAAAGGUCUUCACGUGUGGAUUUUUGCAUGUACCCUAUGAAUAAGCAUCGGCUAACUCCGUGCCAUCAGCCGCGGUAAUACGGAGGAUGCGAGCGUUAUCCGGAUUUAUUGGGUUUAAAGGGAGCGUAGGAUGUUUGUUAAGUCAGCGGUGAAAGUUUGUGGCUCAACCAUAAAAUUGCAGUUGAUACUGGGAGACUUGAGUGUAGUAGAGGUAGGCGGAAUGCGUGGUGUAGCGGUGAAAUGCAUAGAUAUCACGAAGAACUCCGAUUGCGAAGGCAGCUUACUGGGCCGUAACUGACGCUGAAGCACGAAAGCGUGGGGAGCAAACAGGAUUAGAUACCCCAGUAGUC
rnacentral:rRNA from 1 species